GACGAACGCUGGCGGCGUGCCUAAUACAUGCAAGUCGAGCGCAGGAAACUGACGGAACUCUUCGGAGGGAAGGCAGUGGAAUGAGCGGCGGACGGGUGAGUAACACGUAAGGAACCUGCCUCAAGGAUUGGGAUAACUCCGGGAAAUCGGAGCUAAUACCGGAUAGUUCAUCGGACCGCAUGGUCCGUUGAUGAAAGGCGCUCCGGCGUCACCUUGAGAUGGCCUUGCGGUGCAUUAGCUAGUUGGUGGGGUAACGGCCCACCAAGGCGACGAUGCAUAGCCGACCUGAGAGGGUGAUCGGCCACACUGGGACUGAGACACGGCCCAGACUCCUACGGGAGGCAGCAGUAGGGAAUCUUCCACAAUGGACGAAAGUCUGAUGGAGCAACGCCGCGUGAGUGACGAAGGUUUUCGGAUCGUAAAACUCUGUUGUAAGGGAAGAACACGUACGAGAGGGAAUGCUCGUACCUUGACGGUACCUUACGAGAAAGCCACGGCUAACUACGUGCCAGCCGCCGCCGUAA
rnacentral:rRNA from 1 species